rnacentral:rRNA from 1 species
GACGAACGCUGGCGGCGUGCUUAACACAUGCAAGUCGAACGGAAAGGCCCUGCUUUUGUGGGGUGCUCGAGUGGCGCACGGGUGAGUAACACGUGAGUAACCUGCCCUUGACUUUGGGAUAACUUCAGGAAACUGGGGCUCAUACCGGAUAGGAGCUCCUGCUGCAUGGUGGGGGUUGGAAAGUUUCGGCGGUUGGGGAUGGACUCGCGGCUUAUCGGCGUGUUGGUGGGGUAGUGGCUGACCAAGGUUUUGACGGGUAGCCGGCCUGAGAGGGUGACCGGCCACAUUGGGACUGAGGGACGGACCAGACUCCUACGGGAGGCAGCAGUGGGGAGUAUGGCACAAUGGGCGGAAGCCUGAUGCAGCAACGCCGCGUGCGGGAUGACGGCCUUCGGGUUGUAAACCGCUUUCGCCUGUAACGAAGCGUGAGUGACGGUAAUGGGUAAAGAAGCACCGGCUAACUACGUG